GUACACUCCUGCGGGAGGCAGCAGUGGGGAAUUUUGGACAAUGGGCGAAAGCCUGAUCCAGCAAUGCCGCGUGCAGGAUGAAGGCCUUCGGGUUGUAAACUGCUUUUGUACGGAACGAAAAGCUCCUUCUAAUACAGGGGGCCCAUGACGGUACCGUAAGAAUAAGCACCGGCUAACUACGUGCCAGCAGCCGCGGUAAUACGUAGGGUGCGAGCGUUAAUCGGAAUUACUGGGCGUAAAGCGUGCGCAGGCGGUUAUGUAAGACAGAUGUGAAAUCCCCGGGCUCAACCUGGGAACUUCAUUUGUGACUGCAUGGCUAGAGUACGGUAGAGGGGGAUGGAAUUCCGCGUGUAGCAGUGAAAUGCGUAGAUAUGCGGAGGAACACCGAUGGCGAAGGCAAUCCCCUGGACCUGUACUGACGCUCAUGCACGAAAGCGUGGGGAGCAAACAGGAUUAGAUACCCCGGUAGUCCC
rnacentral:rRNA from 1 species